AAAGCUGUAGUUUAUUAAAAACGUUUGAUUUGCAUUCAUAAGAUACUCUUGUUAGCUUUG
rnacentral:tRNA from 1 species